GCAUAGCCGAGUUGAGAGACUGAUCGGACCACAUUGGGACUGAGACACGGCCCAAACUACCUACGGGAGGCAGCAGUAGGGAAUCUUCCACAAUGGACGCAAGCCUGAUGGAGCAACGCCGCGUGAGUGAAGAAGGGUUUCGGCUCGUAAAGCUCUGUUGUUGGUGAAGAAGGACAGGGGUAGUAACUGACCCUUGUUUGACGGUAAUCAAUUAGAAAGUCACGGCUAACUACGUGCCAGCAGCCGCGGUAAU
rnacentral:rRNA from 1 species